rnacentral:rRNA from 1 species
UACGUAGGGGGCAAGCGUUGUCCGGAUUUAUUGGGCGUAAAGAGCGUGUAGGCGGCCAGGUAGGUCGGCUGUGAAAACUGGAGGCUUAACCUUCAGACGUCGACCGAAACCAUCUGGCUAGAGUCCGGAAGAGGAGAGUGGAAUUCCUGGUGUAGCGGUGGAAUGCGCAGAUAUCAGGAAGAACACCCGUGGCGAAAGCGGCUCUCUGGGACGGUACUGACGCUGAGACGCGAAAGCGUGGGGAGCGAACAGG